CCCUACGGGGGGCAGCAGUGGGGAAUAUUGGGCAAUGGGCGCAAGCCUGACCCAGCAACGCCGCGUGAAGGAAGAAGGCUUUCGGGUUGUAAACUUCUUUUAAGGGGGAAGAGCAGAAGACGGUACCCCUUGAAUAAGCCACGGCUAACUACGUGCCAGCAGCCGCGGUAAUACGUAGGUGGCAAGCGUUGUCCGGAUUUACUGGGUGUAAAGGGCGUGCAGCCGGGACUGCAAGUCAGAUGUGAAAUCCGCGGGCUUAACCCGCGAACUGCAUUUGAAACUGCGGAUCUUGAGUACCGGAGAGG
rnacentral:rRNA from 1 species